rnacentral:lncRNA from 1 species
GCUAAAAAUACGAAUAAAUAUAUACAUAAAUAAAUAACGACAUAACUCUGGGAAGAGGUCCAAAGGCUUCAGCAGGCUUUCUAAGGGGAACAUGGUGCCUGAAAAGGUUAAGGACUCCUGUCUUCAAGCCUUUUGUCUGGAGCCUCUGCUCCACCCUUUGGCUUCAUUUGCUGGUCCCCUGACCCCUACCCCCGGGACUCCAUACUUCAUCUAUAGUGAUCUGCAGAUGGUUGCUCCAGACAUACUCUUCAUGGCCUGAAAGCCUUUGCAAAUGCUUCUCCUUCUGCUUCGAACACUCUUGUCCUUUGCCAAGUUUGGUUCACCCUUCAAGGCUCAACUUUGCUGUCACUUUCCCCAGGAACCCUUCCCCAGUCCCACCACUGCAUUUGGGAAGUGCCAGUGCUCUCAGGGGGACCAUGUACCAGUCUGACCCCCACCAGACUGCUAGUUCCCCCCAGGCAAGGCCUCAGUGUCGUUCUUUAGGGCCCCCAGUGCUUAGCCUAGUGCUUGGCAUGCAGCAGGUGUUUAAUACUCUCAAAAAAUAUCCAUGCACUUCGAGAGCGAGUCACCUCAUUGACUCUUGUGAUGUAGUUGGUACUCACUGCAUUUUGUAAAUGGAGGUGGAAGAGGGGGCAUUAGCCAGUGAUGGCAAGUGGCUGGAGGAAGGGCUUGGGGAUUUAGGGGCUGGCGAGCACCGCGUUUGAAGCAAGAGCACUGCGGGGCAUGGGGGAGACUAGGCUGCAGGGAGAGCAUGAGGCCAGCUGAGCGUGGAGAUGCUGAAGGCCAUACCGUGCAGUUAGGGCCUGACCCCGCUGGCACUGAGGGCAAGGUUGCGCUUGGACCGCUUCCGCCGUCUCCCCCUUCCUGUCUCUGGGGAAGAAGGUCAGGAGAAUGUGGUCACAGGUUUGGCGACAAUUCUUAGUAUCUCAUGCCUCCACCUCCUCUUUCCUGAACUGGGUAUUUCUAGUUCUUUUUUGCCUUUUCCAUUGGAUUGAUAUCUUGUUUCUUCAGGCAGAGUAGGGUCACACCUUGGCUUAGUUAAAAAGAAAGUUAAAAGAGAUAGAUUUUGGCUUUUCCAACACUCACCAGCUGUGUGACCUUGAGUGAGCUUCUUAGCCCCCAAGAAUGAUGUUUCUAAGUACGUGCAGGUUCUCCACCAGACACUUGCUCCCAGCAGGUUGCCUGGCCUGAGUGAUGUCGGAUUUGCUGUCACCUUCCCUGUCUUUGCUCAUCUCGUGCCUUCUACAUGUGUGACAGCCCUGCUGGGAAGGUAGGCUCCUUCCAGGUUGUAAAAACCCUGCCCAUCUUUCACGGCCCAACUCAAACGUCCCCUUCUUUUUGGAUGUCUGUGAUGCUGUGUGGCAGCAGGGAAGUUAUUUACCUUCUCUGGCCCCAGUUUCCUCACCUGCCUACCAGAAGCCACCAUGAGGAUCGAAUGAGCCAACAUGUGAAAGUGGCCUUGGGCACCUCGAGGGUGUUUUCGCCCCUUCUUGGGAGCGCCUGCCAACUGGUGUGCACAAGGGCCUUGCUCUUGUCCCCGUUAACACGGAAGGGUCUGUAAUCCCUUCUCUCAGAUGCUCCGUCCCCAGGCACGUGCAUGUUUUUGAUCUCCAGCUUUUGCCCUCCUCUUGCUGCAUCCCCCGUGGAUCUCCUCCAUAAAUCUUUCAGCACUGGCUUCAUAAGCAAUGAGGCCAUAGGCCUGGGUCAUAUCCACAUCAAAGGACUUCUGCAGGAGCUGGUGAUGGAGUUAUCUUCAGAGCCAGCUAGGAGGCCUCUCCAUUUGGCUGUGCCUUGGGGGGCCAGGCCUGAAGCUACCUGUCUUUAUCUGGACUGACACUCUGGGCAAAGGGUAAAUGCCCCCAAGCAGGUUCUCUAAACACUGGUCUGAAAGAGGGGCUGGCAAAGAGGCCAGCCAUUCCCAGAGGGCCUUUCGGGAUGGGCGUUAAUCAACUUUGUUUGGACCCUUGUGCCUCUCUGUUCUGUGUGGCAGGUAUUCUUUGCCCCCAUUUUCCAGACUAGGAAACUGGGGCCCAAAGAGCUUAAGGGAUUUUUUUCCUGGUCACACAGCUUGUGAGUGGCACAGCUAGGACAUCAAGUCUGUGUUGGUCUGCCUCCAAAGCCUCACUUCUCCCCUUAUGCCCCUCUGUCUGUGCACUUGCAGCCCCCAAAUGAGAAGUUUGCUGCAUCCUCUUGGGAGAAGGAAUCUGGCUUGUCCUGGGUAAGGUACCCAGAGAUGCUGCAGGCCUACACCUGUUCCAAUCUGCACAGCAAAGAUGGACCAGGAGUCUGUGAAGGCUGCUGUCUGAAAGGGUCAAGAGGGGAGCCUCUGGACACCCAACAUUGUGACCCAGAGCCAUGAGAACUUCGCAGGGGUGCUGUGGCAUCUGGGGAUUGGGGGCCACACCUGCGGCAUAUGGAGGUUCCCAGGCUAGGGGUCUAAUUGGAGUUGUAGCCGCUGGCCUAUACCAGAGCCACAGCAACGUGGGAUCUGAGCCGCAUCUGCAACCUACACCACAGAUCACAGCAAUGCCAGAUCCUUAACCCACUGAGUGAGGCCAAGGUUCGAACCCACAAACUCAUGGUCCCUAGUUGGAUUCGUUAACCACUGAGCCAUGAUGGCAACUCCUGUUUUUUUAAUUUUUAUCUUUAUUUUUUGGCUGUGCCUGCAGCAUGUGGACAUUCCCGAGGCAGGGAUCGAAUCCAUGCCACAACAGUGACCUGAGCUGCUGCAGUGACAACACCAGGUCCUUAGCCCACUGUGCCGCCAAGGAACUCGCAGAGGAAGAGCCUCUUUACUGUGGCUGGAAUGUACAACGCAUGAGAGCAAGUGGUGAAGGCUGAGGUGGGAAAGACAGGUGCUUCCACCACCCUGGGAAGCUGAUGGUCACCUCUCUGAAUCUUUCUACGGUGCCCGCCUCUCUACUUACACCGUUAGGACCUAGAGAUGAGGCACCCUGAAUGCCAGGCUGCUGCCUCAGCAGCUCCAGGCCCAGGUGGUGUGUGCGCAGUAGCCAAAAGAGCCCAGGCCUGGUGGGCGGGGAGGCAGGGCCACCUGGAGUCAGAACAGACCCUCCCACAUGAAGUUUGAAAGGAAGCAUCUUGCAGCUCCGUCUAAUUACAGGGUAAGUGAGCGGGCCUCCCUCACGGUUAAUUUGCUAUGUGCCUUUAUUGCCAGCAGAAGACAGAUGACUCACAGAGGGUAUUCCAUAUAGGCCUGCCAGUAAUUGUCUUUAUGACUUCAUGAGCCUUUUAUGGCCCCCGCUGGGAAAGGUGUUUUAUUUUUCUUCUUUUAAUUCUCCAUUUUCAGUCGGUAAAUAACCAACUUCUUGGGAGCAGGAAGAAUGUCAAGUUCGGGAUCUGGGUGAAGCCAUCCCAACAAGAUAGGCGACGACCAUGAGAAUUGAAGCUGGGGUCAAAGGCAAAGGGUGGAAGGAAUGGGGACAAGGUGACUCACCCAAGAGGAUGUCGCAUGAAUAAUCCUCAACAGUGAUUAAUAUGUACAUCAUCAAAAUUUAAAACUGAAUAAAUGUUUCUUUUCAGCAGAUUUACUUUCUCAAUGAUGCUUGGCUUAGAUUAAUGAUAAUGUGAGUUUAUGUUUCCACUGCUCUGCUUGGAGAGUCGAGGGGAGGAGGGGGGAGUGGGUGGAUGGGGAGGAAAUUUGUGGUGGCCCCCAAGAGUGCUGUGUGGGAGGCUAGCCACAAGCGCAUUAUAUUUAAUUAUUGUCUCGUCUCUCCACGUGCAAGAUGGGCAACAGAUCAUUGUUUGAAUAGAAUGAGAAUGGGAGGUAUGGCACCUCAGUGGCGCUCUGGGGCUGUGACGUACUGGCAUGCAAAAAUGAAUUGUCAAAUUUCCAGGAAUUCUGUGAGCUGUUCUACACGAUGUUGAUAGCUUGAAAUCAGCCAGAGUGGGGUUAUUUACACUGAGGUCAUUGGCAUAUCCUAUAGAGUUGAGCCCCACUCCCAACUCCUACUCUGGUUGUUAAAUGUUGAUCAGCACACCACCGUGGUAGUGAUCCGGUCCUCUAGAGUAUUCAAGCAGGGUGAAGGGCCACUUGGUAGGAUAAAACUACUACAGGUUAACAUUAUUGAUCACUUACUAUGUGCCACACACUAUUCUAAGCACUUUACAUGUAUAGUCGUGAAUCCUCUUAAUAACUUUGGGAUUGAAUUAUUCCUGAGCCUAAUACUAUACCUGGAAGGCUGAGACUUAGAGCCAGAAGAGAUUACUAACUUGUAUCAUCCUUCUCUUGUUUUUCAUGGAAUUGACAGUGAGGGGACAUGGCUUGGGCAAGUUCAGUUUCCUUGCAAUGGGUCUACUGACUCCCCAGCCAGGGUCUGUUCUCCUGCUCUUAUUCUUCUGGCUUGCCAUGCAUAGCCCCACCUAAGCCCAGGCAAGAACUGAACUCAAAGGCUGGGAGCUGAUAAAGGAGGCAGCCCCAGGCCCGAGUCAUGGAAUGAGUCCGGUGGGCUCUGUUUGCAUUGUUCCUCCACCUCUGGCUGCUGGAUAGAGGCUUGACGGCUCCCUGGUGCCUGGGCUCCAUCCUGAGCUACCUCUCCUUCCACUCUGCCAUUGUCUGAGGAUCCCACUGGAAGUAAUUCAGACUUUAGUCUUUCAGAAACAACCACCUGGCGUAACAAGAAAAAAUAAAAAUAAAAACCCAAGCUGGAGCUCUGCCUGUUAGCCUAGAGCCCUUAGCUUCAGGGAAGUGUGGAAAGAGGUGGAUGGGCUGCAGCUCUCCCAGCCAAAUGAUCAGCCCGGAGAAUUCAAUGCUAACCUUAGCACAGGGGUUCAAGGUAAGCCCAGUGGGGACUGGGAUUAGCCUCUGCAGCUUGUUAUGAUGAUUGCUUCUGGUGUGAAAAAGGUGGCCGGAGUCAAGGCAGAGAGACUCAAGGUGAAAAUCCCCUCAGUUCUUAAAUAUAUAGGUAUAUUCUAAUGUAGACUCCAUUCUACUAUGGUUAACAUUCCAAUGUGAACUAUAGGAUCAGGCAGUUCCAGAGCUAAAGGGCCUUCUAGAAUCCUUUCCCUGCCUCCUGGCCUGGAAACCAAGUGUCUCCUGGAGAGCAGGAGGUGUGAAUACCUUUCUGCAGAGCAGGGCUUCCCAGGCAGGGGCAAUGGAUUGUUUUCCUCAAUGAGAGAGUGUUGCUGGCAGACGGGCUGCUACAGAAGAAAGACAGACAGGGCUUCUAGUGCUGGUGUGUCUGUGCCACUUUGCACAAAUAAAUUCACCUCUUUGAGGCUCAUUUUCCUAGUCCAAGUGGAGGUUUCAGAAUGUGUGGUCCCUUCUAGCUCUUAGAUUCUAUAUCCUAAACAAAAAGCAACAAUUCAUAGAAUUACACAUACACACACAAAUUGACAAAUAGAGAAGGCUUUCAAAAUCUCAUUCAAAUGAUUGCUGGAUUUGUCUAUUAGUGAAAUUUGUUUCUUUGCAUGUGCUAAUUGGUCUUGGCAUUAAUUAAUCUGAUUUCAUUAUAUUCUCUUUAAUUUGUCAAGAUAUCAUUUUGCUAUUGGGUGACGGAACACUUGGGAGGAUUGUUAGAAUUGGCACAUGCCCCCCCCAAAGUUCCUGGAGAAAAGUCAUUAUCAAUUAAGUUAAUUUGCAUGCGCAUUAGGUUAAUCGUUUUAGUUUAGCCAAAUUUGUAGAAAUUUACAUAGCAAAUUGACCCUCCACAUUUCACUUAAACAUAUGUAGCACACCGAGUAGUGCAUUUUGAGUUGCUAAUGAAACUGAGGUUAUUUUACACGCUUCUUUUACUUCUUGGAAUUUUUUUUUUUUUUUUUUUUUUUUUUUUUUUCCUAGCAGCAGCAUCACACGGACAGGGCCGUUAAUAAGGAAGUCAUGUUUUCCUAAUUAAGCCCGGUUUGAUUCCUGCUCACUGUACUGGCGUCAGCCUUCUCCAGCCUUCCCCUAGGUACUCUUCUGCCUGAGUUGCUAAGCCUCCUGGUAUACCUAUUAAUAGAAGACUCCCCCACAUGGAGCCAACUGAAUUAAAAAAUGUAACUAGGAAGGCAGGGUGGGAAUUUUGACAGAUUUGUUUUUUAAUUUUUUUUUUUUUUUAAUUCCAGAGAAGAGAAAGUUGAAUUCAAAAAGGGGUCUUGGUUUGCUCCAUCAGGGGAAGAAAAGAGAGAAAAAUAGCUUUUGUUCUCCCCCAGAAAAGAAGCUGGCAUAACACAUUGGUGGUGUUUCAAAAGUGACUCCAGGGGCUAGCUUGUUCAGUGUUGGAAAAUUGGCUGCCAUCUCCCCCUCCAGAAUGAGGGAGCAGUGGAGAGCUUAGAGAAAAGUGGGAGAGUU